GAUGAACGCUAGCGGCAGGCCUAAUACAUGCAAGUCGAACGAGAUCAAGAGCUUCGGUUCUUGGUUUAGUGGCGCACGGGUGCGUAACGCGUAUGCAACCUACCUUCCACAGGGGGAUAGCCCACCGAAAGGUGGAUUAAUACCGCAUAAGACCACGGUCCUGGCAUCAGGAUGUGGUCAAAGCUUUGGCGGUGGAAGAUGGGCAUGCGUGCCAUUAGUUAGUUGGUAGGGUAACGGCCUACCAAGACUUCGAUGGCUAGGGGUUCUGAGAGGAUGGUCCCCCACACUGGUACUGAGACACGGACCAGACUCCUACGGGAGGCAGCAGUAGGGAAUAUUGGGCAAUGGCCGAGAGGCUGACCCAGCCAUGCCGCGUGCAGGAAGAAGGCCUUCUGGGUUGUAAACUGCUUUUAUCUGGGAAGAAAACGCCCCUGCGGGGGUAACUGACGGUACCAGAUGAAUAAGCACCGGCUAACUCCGUGCCAGCAGCCGCGGUAAUACGGA
rnacentral:rRNA from 1 species